GAAUCCCGUCUUUGGCACGGACUGCCUGUACAUUAUGGUGUGCUCUCGAAGAGUCGAGUUGUUUGGGAAUGCAGCUCAAAAUGGGUGGUAAAUGCCAUCUAAAGCUAAAUAUUGGCGAGAGACCGAUAGCGAACAAGUACCGUGAGGGAAAGAUGAAAAGAACUUUGGAAAGAGAGUUAAACAGUACGUGAAAUUGCUGAAAGGGAAACGCUUGAAGUCAGUCGCGUUGGCUAGAAAUCAACCUUGCUUUUGCUUUGUGUACUUUCUGGUUGACGGGUCAGCAUCAAUUUUGACCACUGGAUAAAGUCUUUGGGAAUGUGGCAUCUUCGGAUGUGUUAUAGCCCAUUGUCGCAUACGGUGGUUGGGAUUGAGGAACUCAGCACGCCGCAAGGCCGGGUUUCGACCACGUUCGUGCUUAGGAUGCUGGCAUAAUGGCUUUAAUCGACCCGUCUUGAAACACGGACCAAGGAGUCUAACAUGCCUGCGAGUGUUUGGGUGGAAAAACCCAUGCGCGCAAUGAAAGUGAAAGUUGAGAUCCUCUUCAAAGGGGGAGCAUUGACGCCCAGACCAGACCUUUUGUGACGGAUCCGCGGUAGAGCAUGCAUGUUGGGACCCGAAAGAUGGUGAACUAUGCCUGAAUAGGGUGAAGCCAGAGGAAACUCUGGUGGAGGCUCGUAGCGAUUCUGACGUGCAAAUCGAUCGUCAAAUUUGGGUAUAGGGGCGAAAGACUAAUCGAACCAUCUAGUAGCUGGUUCCUGCC
rnacentral:rRNA from 1 species